rnacentral:lncRNA from 1 species
UAAACAUCAUAAAUAAUAAUGCUAGUAUAUCACUCUAUAUAAUAAUCAAAUAUCACAGCUCAGUAAAUAUCAAAACAAUAAACAUUGCAUAUUAGAUAGACCCGUUCACAGAAAAUUAAUAUAUCUUAUAAAUAUUUAGCAAUACAUUGUACAUAUCCAAGAGCAAGAUUUCUCACUUAAAUAUUAUAAGUGUUUUCAUAAACCGAGGUUAAUAAAUGCAAUAUGAAAUAAGAUAUAUAUUAUGAAUUCUAUUAUACCUUUUUAGUUAUUUGUACAACAUGGGUGUCGGAUCAUUUUGAUGUCAAG